UCUAGCUGCAGCUAACGGUAUAUUACGUGGACCUUACAAAGAAAAACACCUCAAGUUGCAAGAUUUCUAGAGUAAAGCGAUAAUCAGUAAAAUGGCCGCUGAAGCCCUAGGGGUCCUUGUAAGCGAACGGCCGCAGCUUGCAGUAUACGUCAGUCAGACCACCACAAUAUACUAACAGCUAAUCUUUUUAUCACAGGGACAUUCCCAUAUUAGCCGCCAUAUGCCCCAUAUUCGCCACCCCAUGCUUCGUUCCGCACUCCCCGCUCAAAUGAAAUGGCGUUAUGCGCGCCCUCCAUCGUCUUUAUAGCCAUGUAAUGUGACGUCAUAGUCCCGCGACGGGAGACUUGUGACGCGUCGCGUGGACUAGAUGCCCUGCGCGCAUCAAAAAGCUACAAGUUAUUUGCGGGGAGGGGCUUUUAAUCCAGGGUUUAGAGCAGUGAUACGGAAAUCAGGAUGGUCCUGCGUGUAUCAGGACUGUUGGGCGCCAUAGAAGACCCGGCGCAACAGUUGAAACAGCUGGCACUGCCGCAGACUGACCCAAGUUUGUACAAUCGGAAAGAGGCUACAAGGAACCCAAGGAAGCUACAGAAAUUGACCAAGACCCAUUCUUUGCUAUUGGGUAUCCAAUUUUUCUGGCUGACCCACUUCGCUGAAAGUGAAUCUGGAGCAAGUGGAUACCAAUGAGGGCCAUAUCAUUAACUGUCUACUCAUUAUGGUGAUGAAGCUUUCAGAGGUCACAUUCAGACCGCUCUUCUUCAAGAUAAACCAUUUUUGACUCAAAAAACAACACUGAGAAGAGCUGCCCGUUACUGGACUCAUCCUCUGUCUGCACAAAAUCUUUCUGUAUGAUAACCAGCAUUUACUGAGCAAGGAGAGAACAGAAGCAUUAAUGAUGCCAUUGGUAGAUCAGCUUGAAAAUUUACUUGGAAGAGAUAAGAAAUUUCAUUCAAGAGUAAGCGAGAGCUUGAUACCAUGCAUAGCCCAAUUCUCAGUCGCGAUGGCAGAUGACUACCUGUGGAAGCCUCUCAACUCUCAGAUACUCUUGAAAAUGCGACAUUCUUCUCCCAAGAUUCACCGAAGUAGGACCAGUUGAACUUAUGAAGUGCCUUGCUCCAUUUGGCUUACUUUAUCCUUUUCACUGUAUCACAAAAUUAGGAAAAUAAAGUUACUUUUCUGGACAGAAGUUAACAAUAAAAAGAAAUGUAUUGAAAUAACACCUACGUUCUUCGGUGACAAGUUCUGUAUACAGCAACACACACGAGAAUUCCAACACAAAUCAGGCUAAGUGUAGCUGAGGCAUCCCUGGUGUCCGGUACUGGUAUUUCUAUGGAAAGGAAGACAACACAAUAGUAGAAAUGUAACAAACAUGUCAUCGACAGGGAAGGACUCCACGGGCGAUUCGGCCGCGAUCCAACGAGCUGCGAAAAAACGCCGGCGUCGCAUGCGACGGAAAUAAGCAAAAGGAGGUUGAAAGGGAGAAAAAGAUAAAAGAGCUUCAUUACCCGAUAUCAAAACCUAUGAAAUUUUUGCACUAGCUUGGUGUUCCGGUCAUUGUCCCUGCCCCAUGUAAGUUACUGUUUAUGCUUU